GAUGAACGCUGGCGGCGUGCUUAACACAUGCAAGUCGAACGGAAAGGCCCUGCUUUUGUGGGGUGCUUGAGUGGCGAACGGGUGAGUAACACGUGAGUAACCUGCCCUUGACUUUGGGAUAACUUCAGGAAACUGGGGCUAAUACCGGAUAGGAGCUCCUGCUGCAUGGUGGUGGUUGGAAAGUUUCGGCGGUUGGGGAUGGACGCGCGGCUUAUCAGCUUGUUGGUGGGGUAGUGGCUUACCAAGGCUUUGACGGGUAGCCGGCCUGAGAGGGUGACCGGCCACAUUGGGACUGAGAUACGGCCCAGACGCCUACGGGAGGCAGCAGGGGGGAAUAUUGCACAAUGGGCGGAAGCCUGAUGCAGCAACGCCGCGUGCGGGAUGACGGCCUUCGGGUUGUAAACCGCUUUCGCCUGUGACGAAGCGUGAGUGACGGUAAUGGGUAAAGAAGCACCGGCUAACUACGUG
rnacentral:rRNA from 1 species